ACGCUAGCUACAGGCUUAACACAUGCAAGUCGAGGGGCAGCAUAGUCUUAGCUUGCUAAGGCCGAUGGCGACCGGCGCACGGGUGAGUAACACGUAUCCAACCUGCCGUCUACUCUUGGACAGCCUUCUGAAAGGAAGAUUAAUACAAGAUGGCAUCAUGAGUCCGCAUGUUCACAUGAUUAAAGGUAUUCCGGUAGACGAUGGGGAUGCGUUCCAUUAGAUAGUAGGCGGGGUAACGGCCCACCUAGUCUUCGAUGGAUAGGGGUUCUGAGAGGAAGGUCCCCCACAUUGGAACUGAGACACGGUCCAAACUCCUACGGGAGGCAGCAGUGAGGAAUAUUGGUCAAUGGGCGAGAGCCUGAACCAGCCAAGUAGCGUGAAGGAUGACUGCCCUAUGGGUUGUAAACUUCUUUUAUAAAGGAAUAAAGUCGGGUAUGGAUACCCGUUUGCAUGUACUUUAUGAAUAAGGAUCGGCUAACUCCGUGCCAGCAGCCGCGGUAAUACGGAGGAUCCGAGCGUUAUCCGGAUUUAUUGGGUUUAAAGGGAGCGUAGAUGGAUGUUUAAGUCAGUUGUGAAAGUCUGCGGCUCAACCGUAAAAUUGCAGUUGAUACUGGAUAUCUUGAGUGCAGUUGAGGCAGGCGGAAUUCGUGGUGUAGCGGUGAAAUGCUUAGAUAUCACGAAGAACUCCGAUUGCGAAGGCAGCCUGCUAAGCUGCAACUGACAUUGAGGCUCGAAAGUGUGGGUAUCAAACAGGAUUAGAUACCCUGGUAGUCCACACGGUAAACGAUGAAUACUCGCUGUUUGCGAUAUACUGCAAGCGGCCAAGCGAAAGCGUUAAGUAUUCCACCUGGGGAGUACGCCGGCAACGGUGAAACUCAAAGGAAUUGACGGGGGCCCGCACAAGCGGAGGAACAUGUGGUUUAAUUCGAUGAUACGCGAGGAACCUUACCCGGGCUUAAAUUGCAGAUGAAUUACGGUGAAAGCCGUAAGCCGCAAGGCAUCUGUGAAGGUGCUGCAUGGUUGUCGUCAGCUCGUGCCGUGAGGUGUCGGCUUAAGUGCCAUAACGAGCGCAACCCUUGUUGUCAGUUACUAACAGGUUCCGCUGAGGACUCUGACAAGACUGCCAUCGUAAGAUGUGAGGAAGGUGGGGAUGACGUCAAAUCAGCACGGCCCUUACGUCCGGGGCUACACACGUGUUACAAUGGGGGGUACAGAGGGCCGCUACCACGCGAGUGGAUGCCAAUCCCCAAAACCUCUCUCAGUUCGGACUGGAGUCUGCAACCCGACUCCACGAAGCUGGAUUCGCUAGUAAUCGCGCAUCAGCCACGGCGCGGUGAAUACGUUCCCGGGCCUUGUACACACCGCCCGUCAAGCCAUGGGAGCCGGGGGUACCUGAAGUGCGUAACCGCGAGGAGCGCCCUAGGGUAAAACUGGUGACUGGGGC
rnacentral:rRNA from 1 species